CAGUGCAGGCUAAAGGUCUCUUUUCACAGACAUGAAGAACUUCAACAUUCAAAGUAUUGGACUGGUGAUGAUGAUGAUGCUGAUUGCAAUGAUCAGCACAAAACCAACACCAACACUAGCACGGCUUGACAAAACAGUCAUGCUGAGGGAGAUUCAAAGACUGGCCAGUAACGCUGCAGCUGCACAUAAGGAUUUGGAUGUAUGGGUGACAAAGGCAUCAGGACCCGAGGGAAAACAGAAAUGUGUGAAAGAAAACAACCAUACAGUGUUCUUCUGCUUGGCUGAGAAGUCUCUGAACCAAACAGCACAUAAAAACACCCAAGUUAACGAGACAACACACGCACUCAGGCGCCAAUUACAUGUGUACAACAAGCUGACUGGGAUUGUCCAUUGUCAACUGAAGGAGGGAGAACAAAAGCUGUAUAAUUUUCUGCAAGAUAUUGUGGACUGUGUCACCUACGAACCGAAGAACGAGACAAGCACAUGAACUGACACCUACUACUUAUUACAUGUAAUAUACAGAAGCUAUUUAUUGUAAUAUUUAUUUUCUUGCACAUUAUUUUUGUAUUAUUUAUUCAGCAAUAAAUGUGAAAAUAAUGACAACGGUUUGUAAA